GCCCCAGUGGCGAAAUGGUAGACGCGGCAGACUCAAAAUCUGCUUUCUGCAAGGAAGUGCUGGUUCGAGUCCGGCCUGGGGCACCA
rnacentral:tRNA from 2 species